rnacentral:rRNA from 1 species
UACGUAGGGGGCAAGCGUUGUCCGGAAUCAUUGGGCGUAAAGAGCGUGUAGGCGGCCUGGUAAGUCCGCUGUGAAAGUCCAGGGCUCAACCCUGGAAUGCCGGUGGAAACUGUCAGGCUCGAGUCCGGAAGAGGCGAGUGGAAUUCCUGGUGUAGCGGUGAAAUGCGCAGAUAUCAGGAGGAACACCAAUGGCGAAGGCAGCUCGCUGGGACGGUACUGACGCUGAGACGCGAAAGCGUGGGGGAGCAAACAGG